rnacentral:rRNA from 2 species
GUGGAACGAGCGGCGGAUGGGUGAGUAACACGUGGGCAACCUGCCUGUAAGCUCGGGAUAACUAGCGGAAACGCUAGCUAAUACCGAAUAACGCUGCGCACCGCAUGGCGCGCAGAUGAAAGGCGGCGCAAGCUGCCACUUACAGAUGGGCCCGCGGCGCAUUAGCUAGUUGGUGGGGUAACGGCCUACCAAGGCGACGAUGCGUAGCCGACCUGAGAGGGUGAUCGGCCACACUGGGACUGAGACACGGCCCAGACUCCUACGGGAGGCAGCAGUAGGGAAUAUUCCGCAAUGGGCGAAAGCCUGACGGAGCGACGCCGCGUGAGCGAUGAAGGUCUUCGGAUCGUAAAGCUCUGUUGUUAGGGAAGAACAAGUACCGGAGUAACUGCCGGUACCUUGACGGUACCUAACCAGAAAGCCCCGGCUAACUACGUGCCAGCAGCCGCGGUAAUACGUAGGGGGCGAGCGUUGUCCGGAAUUAUUGGGCGUAAAGGGCGCGUAGGCGGUCUCUUAAGUCUGAUGUGAAAGCCCCCGGCUUAACCGGGGAGGGUCAUUGGAAACUGGGAGACUUGAGUGCAGGAGAGGGAAGCGGAAUUCCAUGUGUAGCGGUGAAAUGCGUAGAGAUAUGGAGGAACACCAGUGGCGAAGCGGCUUCCUGGCCUGUACUGA